AUGGUGCAAUCUCGGGUCACUGCAGCUUCUUCCUCCCGGGUUCAAGUGAUUCUCCCUCUUCAGCCUCCUGAAUAGAAAGUUAAGUAAUGUGUUCAUACAUUAAUUCCAAUUCAUAUUAAGGAGUAGAAUGAUUUUUACUUCUUUGAUUUUAUGCCUAGAUCUCUUUCAUGCUGAAAAUUCUAGUUCCUAAUGAUUAAUAUUAAUUGUUCAUUUGGUUUAUGUAUAUUUAUCUGUUAUAUAAAUAUAAUGCUAUUUGUGUAUUUUUAUAUAUAGUUUUAAAAUAACAAUAUCAAUGUUACCACUAACAUCAAGACUACAGGAUGCAAUAGAAUAUCUUUAUGGUUCUUUUUGUUUUAGGCCAUAAUCCACUGUGUAGUAAACAUAUUGUGUUUUAAGAUCAAUUGAAUUAAAUCUUUUCUGCUUGGUUAUGCUACCAACUUGAAGUACAGUUGAAUUUAUUCAUUUCCUUAUUUUCCUUCAGUAUUCAAAGAGUGGUCUUUUUCUUUUUUGAUUUACCAUGUGAAACAUUUUACCUGGUUCUAAAUAAAAACUAAAAACAAAUUAUAGUUAGAAAGUCUAGCUUUUAUCCUUUUACUACUUCUUGUUUUCUCCCUCACCCUAUAGAUAACCAUUUAUAAAUUGUGUAUGUGUAAUCUUGCAUUUUUUUCUUAGAAAAAUAUAAGCCUAUUUGUAUGUGUAUCUAUAUCUAUGUAUUUAUAUCUGUUUAUAUCUAUUAUCCCCUUUUCUUACAUGUUUCUUUACCCUUUUUUCACUUAAUAAGUCCUGAGGAUCACUCCAUAGCAACAUAUAAAAGGUCUAUAUAUAUAUAUAUAUAUAUGUAUAUAUAUGAAGUCCUCCAUUACAUAAACAUUCCUUAGCUUUUUCAACCAGAUACCUAGUGAUGAACAUUUGAGCAGUUUCCAGUCUUUGUUUUAACAAAUAGAGAAAUUAGGUUGCUCUAAUACAUAAUAGUGUCUGCUUCUCUAUAGCCUCACUACUAGAUUAAUCAUAUUUUUAGCUUUUUGCCAACCUCAUAGGUGAGAAAAAUUAUCUAUCUAAAAUUGGAAUCUCUAGAAGACAGAGUUAAGGGCAAUUCCAAGGAAGUAAGGAAUACUCUUUCAAGGAAGUAACAGUGAGAGAGAAACAAAGGGAGGAGGAAAAAAGGAGAACUAGUACAAGGUAAUGAGUUACCAAGCUGGCCAUAGCUUCACAAGAAACACAACUGAUUGCUUGGUAAGGAGAGAGUGUUUCUUGGAAGGUGGGAUAGAGUAGUACAAUUAAUUUGUUUGCUAUGCAGAGAGAAAAAGAAUAACAGGAAGAGGCGGGUUGAUAACAGUCAUACAUAGCUUGACAACAGAUUAAAAAUUUACAUUUUGCUGCAUUGGCAAUGGAAAGCCAGGAAACAUUUUGAGCAGGAAAAUGAUUAAGAGCAAAGAGGAUUUUAGGAAGAUCUGGAUUAAGGUUAGGAGUGUUUAGGGAACAGGUCACCAGUUGGAAAACAAUUACAUGUCCAGCUGAGGAGUAAUAGAAGACUGAAUUAAGCAUUGUUGGACAAAUAUAUAAAAGAAGACAGUCUGGGCAAAGGAUGCUUAAUUUGGGAACUUUGGCAGACCUUAGAGAACCUAUUAUUGGGUUCUAGGGGUUUGUAAACCUCUAAAAUGAUAAGCACAUUUUUGUGUUCCAAGUAUGUUCAGUUUUUAGGGGAAAGGGUUUUUAGCUUUAACCUAAUGCUCAAAGGCAGUUCUAAGACAAAAAAUAAUUAGGAAAUCCUGAAUCAAUGAGAUUUUGUGAUCACUAAUAGAUUUAUGUUGUAAAUAAGCCUCAUUUAUGAACUUAAUAUUAAUCCUUGGUGCAUUUUACAUUUUUACAACCACAUUCUUCUAACUCCUAUUGUACUUAUUGUCUGAGCCACUCAUUUUAACAUCUAACUUGUUUUUGUAACUUUGUUUUCCCUACACUGCUUUUCUUUUUGUUUUAGAUGGAGUUUCCCUCUUGUCGUCCAGGCGGGAGUACAGUGUUGAGACCUCAGUUCUCUGCACUCUCUGCCUCCCAGGUUCAAGUGAUUCUCCUGCCUUAGCCCCCCAAGUAGCUGGGAUUAUAGGCACCCACCACCAUACUGGCUAAUUUUUGUAUUUUUAGUAGAGAUGGGGUUUUGCCAUGUCAACCAGGCUGGUCCCGAACUCCUGACCUCAGGUGAUCCACGCAUCUCGGCCUCCCAAAGUGCUGGAAUUACAGGUGUGAGCCAUGGUGCCAGGGCUACACUGUGUUUUCCUUAAAAGGACACAUCUGUAUAUUGUCCUCAGUCACAGGUUACUGUACAACAUGGUGACUAUGGUUAGUAGCAACGUCUUGUAUUUUGAAAAUUGCUGAGAGUAGAUUUUAAAUAUUCCAGUCAGAAAAAAUUAUAAAUAUGUGAGGUAAUGCAUAUGUUAAUUAGCUCAUUUGAGCCAUUCCAUGAUGUAUACAUAUUUUGAAACACAAUGUUCUACAUGAUAAAUAUAUCCAAUUUUUAUUUGUCAAUUAAGAAAAUAAAGGAAAAAAGUACAACUUAAAUAAAAUAAAACUUGCUUAAAAACACCUAUUAAGCUAGACAUGGUGGAAGAGAUUGGCAAAAAUGUAAAAUAAUAUCUUUCUUCUCAUUAAACAUUUUUGGUUUGGAAUCAGCCAUUUCAUUAAAGCAUUUUAUUUAUGUCAAAAAAAAAAAAAAAAAAAAAGACACCAAGCACAUACACACAUAGGACUAAGAACUAAACCCAUUUUUUUUUUUUUUACUUAAAACUUUCAUUUUGAUGUAACCUUUUUUCUUUUUUAUCCUUGGCUACUAAGAACAGAAAUAGUUUUCCAUUUAUUUGUUGUAUCAGAACUCAUCCCAGGAGCAUAAAGGCCUGAAAUGAACUCUACUUUAUGAUACUCACAUUUGAGAAAUUCCAUUAGAACACAGAUGGAUCUGUGUGUGGUGAUGAACUCGGAGCAGGAGAGAAGGGUUUUCAUCACUUUACCAGGGCCCUGAACAUACUGGAAAACUUAUCGGGCCCCACCUCACUCCUUGCUUGGAAUAAGACUUUCCCUUAUGUACCCAAACAAUGCCUCCCAUCCCAGCUAAGAGGAAGGGAGCUAACGGGAGCAUUUUGAGUUGUUUUAAAUUUAUAACAUUAAACUGUUCAUUGUUAAGACACUUUGAUCAGCUUCGAGGUUUUGCUUUUACAAUUGAUUCUAAGCACCAUAAAAUUGGUGCUUCUGUGUUGGUACUUGCCUCUUGAGCAUUUAAGAAAUAUUUCAAAAGGUGUGUUAGUUAUUUUUCAGGAAAAGAUGAAACUUUAGCUUUGAGCUGUCUAUAAGGUUACCUAGAAAUUCAAUUUAAUAUUACCCUGCUUCAGUUGAAAAAUAAAGUUUAGAGCCAUAUAAAAUUAAGAAUCUGUAACUAGGACAAGGACAGAAAUAAACUUAUUAAACACUUUUGAAAAGUAUAUUACAAAGCACAAUAUUUUCUUUCUUUAAAGGAGGUAUUCUUAUACUGAGAUUAGAAAAGGAUUGUUUAAAACUAUCAAAAGGAAUAAAAUUCUUUAAACUGCUGCUGCCACUGGAUCUGAAUGUCUAUGAAUGGGAGACUUAAUAUUUUUGAACAGUUUAUUGAGGUGUAAUUUACUUACCAUAAAAUUCACCUGUUUUAAGUUCGGGGAUCUGUAAAUUUAAUGUUAUUAAAUGUUGGUCACAAGAGCUACUUCUGGCUCUGCAGUAAAUCUUUAUAGUUAGUAAUUAUUUUGUAAUUAAGUCAAUAAGAGAAUCCCAAAACUGGUCACAAUUUUGAUAAGAAAAAUUUUUAGAAUCCUGUAAGGAAAUUUGUCAGAUGUAUCAUUCCCCCUGUACAUUACCGCUUAAGUCUAUUUGUUAUUCAAAUUUAGGCCCUCAUGUUUGAGAUACUGUUUUCCACCCACACGGCAAUCUAUGAAAUUCCCAGGAUAUGUGUUAUGAAGAAAGGUAUUUUCAAUUUGGAGAAUAUACAAAGUGCCAAUUGAAGACAAUUUCAACGUCAUUUUAAAAAAUUAAGGGAGAAGCAUGACACUGGCCAACACUGCGUCCAGCAUUUGGGUGGCCUUCGGGAUUUCCCAGUCCUCUGAAAUGGCCAUCCUUCUCAGUGCGAACUUGAAGAGUGAAAAUACAACCUUGAAGAAAUGCAAAAACGCUUCAUGUUAACAAACAGAAGAAAUAGAUAAAACAAGAAGAAGAGAUUUUGCCUUUGUACACAUCUUUAGAAAGAACUUUUCCGCCGGGCGCGAUGGCUCACACCUGUAAUCCCAGCACUUUGGGAGGCUGAGGCAGGCGGAUCAGGAGGUCAGGAG